rnacentral:rRNA from 1 species
UACGAGGGGAGCAAGCGUUAUUCGGAAUUACUGGGCGUAAAGCAUGUGUAGUCGGCUUAUUAAGUCGAUCGUUAAAUCUCUCAGCCUAACUGAGGGGCCGCGGUCGAUACUGGUAAGCUUGAGUGUGAGAGAGAGAAGUGGAAUUCUUGGAGUAGCGGUAAAAUGCGUAGAUCUCAAGAGGAACACCGAUGGCGAAAGCAGCUUCUUGGUUCACAACUGACGCUUUAACAUGAAGGCGUGGGGAGCAAACAGG